rnacentral:rRNA from 1 species
AACGAACGCUGGCGGCAUGCCUAACACAUGCAAGUCGAACGAGACCUUCGGGUCUAGUUGCGCACGGGUGCGUAACGCGUGGGAACCUGCCCUUAGGUUCGGAAUAACUCCCCGAAAGGGGUGCUAAUACCGGAUAAUGUCUUCGGACCAAAGAUUUAUCGCUUUUGGAUGGGCCCGCGUUGGAUUCGCUAGUUGGUAGGGUAAAAGCCUAUCAAGGCGACGAUCCAUAGCUGGUCUGAGAGGAUGAUCAGCCACACUGGGACUGAGACACGGCCCAGACUCCUACGGGAGGCAGCAGAGGGGAAUAUUGGACGAUGGGCGAAAGCCUGAUCCAGCAAUGCCGCGUGAGUGAUGAAGGCCUUAGGGUUGUAAAGCUCUUUUACCCGGGAUGAUAAUGACAGUACCGGGAGAAUAAGCUCCGGCUAACUCCGUG